rnacentral:rRNA from 1 species
CCAUUAGAUGUUCUGGGCUGCACACGUGCUACACUGGCAGGUUCAGCGAGCUUCAUGCCCUGAUCUGAAAGGAAUGGGAAAUCUUUUCAAAACCUGCCGUGCUUGGGAUAGAUGUUUGCAAUUAUUCAUCUUCAACGAGGAUUGCCUUGUAAGCGCACGUCAUCAGCGUGCAUUGAAUACGACCCUGUAUUCUGUACACACCGCCCGUCGCUCCUACCGAUUGAAGUUUUCGGUGAGUUGACAGGAGGAUUUUUUUGAAACUGGUUCGCCAGUGGAUUUUAGAUCCAAAUGCCAACGAAUCGAUGGCUUUAGAGGAAGGAGAAGUCGUAACA